AAUACUUUACCCUUUUCACCUCAAAUUUCCACUUUUCUAUCUCCUUCUGUUUCUAGGAGAAGAUAUACAUCAGAGACAUACUCCAGAAGGUGAAAGUGGUUAUCUAAUGUCAGGCACAAAAGCUACUGGAGCCACAGCAGAUGAAGAGAUAAAGAGACACUAUCCUUCUGCAGCUAUGUAUUCAACAUCAGAUCUUCAGAAUAGCUGUUUCAAACAGUAAACUUUCAAGAGAAGUGAUUAUGUAAAGCUACAUAAAAUCCAAAUUUUGUAAAAGAUUUGUAAACCUCUCUGCAAC
rnacentral:lncRNA from 1 species